AGGUUUCUCAGUCUCACCUGGGCUACAAGUACUCCCAGAGGAGGGGUGAACAUCAAUGCUAUUCUGCAGAUGGCAGGAGAAAGGUGUCAUCUGGAGGCAGCACGAUGGGAGACGACAUGAAGUUGUCGAUCUUCAUCCCUCUCUGAGGUGCAAGGGAUCAACACCGGCUUCAACUUUAAAGGUCCUGACUGAGAGCACCGCGUUUGUUGCCAGUCUGGGGAACUGAUCUUUCCAAUGACAUACGACGUGACCCUCAAGUCUUGACAGUUGAG
rnacentral:lncRNA from 1 species